CUACGGGACGCAGCAGUGAGGAAUAUUGCACAAUGGGGGGAACCCUGAUGCAGCAACGCCGCGUGGAGGAUGACGCAUUUCGGUGUGUAAACUCCUUUUAUAUGUCAAGAAAAUGACGGUAGCAUAUGAAUAAGCACCGGCUAACUCCGUGCCAGCAGCCGCGGGAAUACGGAGGGUGCAAGCGUUACCCGGAAUCACUGGGCGUAAAGGACGCGUAGGCGGGUUGGAAAGUCAGGUGUGAAAUCCUACAGCUUAACUGUAGAACUGCACUUGAAACUUCUAAUCUAGAGUAUGGGAGAGGGAGAUGGAAUUAGUGGUGUAGGGGUGAAAUCCGUAGAUAUCACUAGGAAUACCUAAAGCGAAGGCGAUCUCCUGGAACAUUACUGACGCUAAGGCGUGAAAGCGUGGGGAGCAAACAGGAUUAGAUACCCGAGUAGUC
rnacentral:rRNA from 1 species